CUCAGUAGCAGCAAAAGGCUUUUGUAAUACAAUAUGUACACAAUAACAUUGCACAUUGUACUUUUGUGCGUAGUUAAGGCCACCUAAUAUAAAGGGGACCGUAUUUUAAUAUUAAUAUUAUAAUUUAUUAACAUUAGUAUUGAAUAAAAUUUUAGUUUUUUACUUUUUAUUUUAGUUUUAGUGAUUUUGCUAUGUACUUUUGUAUUCAUUUAUUUUAUAUUUUUAUAUAAUUUAUUUUUACUUCCAUUUUAGCACUUCAACCUAAACCUUUUUAAUUUAGUUAACAUGGCAACAUUUUAUAACUUAAAAAAAAAAAAAAAAUUAAGUUUGUUUUCACCAAAUAGUUAUUUUUUUUAUUUUAACUAAGACAACACUGGAACAACAUUGCCACUCUACUCAGUGUUUUUUUUUUUUUUUUUUUUUUCAGGGCCACCCUUCAAGAUCUAGUCCAAGUUGCUCGAGAUCUAGUCAAACCCAGGCCUGAGAAAAAAGAUGUGAAUAUGUCCACUUGCCAAUCCUGAGAGACAGAAAACUGUAUCAUACUCAAUACUCCAGCCACAGUCAAGGCUGGUACCACACUGAAACGCUUAGCAGUCCUGCCAGUGUAAAGCUUGACAUUGUCUUUCUCCAGUCAUUGAUUCUGUAGGGAAAAGAGAAACAAGAACAUUUUACUAAAGUUCUCCUUUAGCUUUCUGCAUGAGAAUGUGAGGAAGCAACAUGAGGUGCAUAUUUGGGCAAGGAGGAAAAGAGAAUGAUAUCCCACGCCACAAGUCUCUAUCUGCUCCACCAGGACCGUUGAACACUUUAAUAAGGCCCAACCUUGAUGAAGCUGUCAGGGCUGGAAGACACACGAGGGGUUAG
ensembl:lncRNA